CUCCGCUCCCCCCAGCCAGGAGCCCAGGCCCAGGUGCGGGUCUCCUUCAGGCGGCCCCUCCCGUGGCGGGGCUGGAGGGCGAGGCUGGGGUGGGAGGCGGGAGCGAGGCUACCCGGUGGUCUUCGGGGGGCUGGGCCCAGCCGUGGGGCUCACCCACACCCUAUGGAGGACUCAGUCCUGGAUCGUGGCUAAAGCCCUUCCCUGUGGACUGUGGAAGGCGAUUUCUAGAGCCACUCCUCAAAGGGGAAGCGCUGGGUUGCCCAACUCCCAUGCUAGGGCCCCUCCAAGCCUCAGUAUUAAGGAGCUUCAAAGUCCCCUUCCUGAUUUUGUUUGUUUUUGUUUUUGAGACGGAGUCUUGCUCUGUCGCCCAGGCUGGAGUGCAGUGGGGGAUCUCGGCUCACUGCAACCUCUGCCUCCCGGGUUCAAGCGAUUCUCCUGCCUCAGCCUCGCGAGUAGCUGGGACUACAGGCGCCCGCCACCACGCCCGGCUAAUUUUUUGUAUUUUUAGUAGAGACGGGGUUUCACCACGUUGGCUAGGCUGGGCUAGAACUCCUGACUUCAAGUUAUCUGCCCGCCUGGGCUUCCCAAACUGCUGGAAUUACAGGCGUGAGCCACAGCGCUCGCCCCCCGUACUGAUUUGAGGGUCUCCAGAGCACAAAGGCUGCACCGGAUGAUGAAGAAGGAGCUGAAAGAGCCACAGACUCCGUAGAUCCGGUACAGUCCACACACAGGAAAUUCAGGUCUGGAGGCUGGGAAGCCCAAGAGCAAGGUGUCAGCAGAUGCAGUUCUGUUCUUAGGAUGAACACUUCACCAGAACAAGUACAGUGGUCCCCUCUUUUCCAUGGUUUUGAGCUCCAGGGUUUCAGUUACCCACAAUCAACAGCUGCCCAAAAACAGGGUCUUAUGCUGAUGCUCAGGCUGGAAUGCAGUGGUGCGAUCACAGCUCAUGGUCACCUCAAACUCCUGGGCUCGAGCAAUCCUCUUACCUCAACCUUCAAGUAGUUGAAGCUACAGUGGAAAGAAGUUAGACGGGUACAAGAGUGAAACUAAUGAAACUGGUUAGGAGGUCAUUCCAAUAGCCCAGGAAAGAUGGUGACUUGGAUUAGGGCAAGGAAAAAUGGAUGUAUGUCAAGAUGUAUUCAGGAGAUAGAAAUGGCUGGAUUGUCUGAGACUGGAUAUGGAAGACAGUGCAAAAGGAAUCAAAGAUAACUUUCAUGUUCCUGUCUUGAGCAACUGACAGAUUCUGGUACUAUUUACAACUAUUUAGUAUCUUCUGUAUUGUUUAUUUGUUAGUUUGUUCCAAUGCUUGGCCACAUUUCACAAGAUGUUUCUUGCUAUUACUGGCUCUCUAUCACCUUUCACAAUUUUACAGUUCUGUUUAUAUUCUAAUUAUAUGGGCCUUCCUAUGAUCUCCUUACAAUGAAUAAUACAGUAUUUUAGAUAGCUUAUCUCCUACUUUUCCACUUUCUCUACAUUGCAUUUACCCCAAGGUGUCUCUGCUUAAUGGAAAUAUUUUAUACUAAUUGAGAUUAAAAAUUAAAAGGCA
rnacentral:lncRNA from 10 species